rnacentral:rRNA from 1 species
GAUGAACGCUAGCGGCAGGCUUAAUACAUGCAAGUCGAGGGACAGCACAGGUAGCCAUACUGGGUGGUAACCGGCAAACGGGUGCGGCACACGUACACAACCUUCCUCUAAGUGGGGGAAAGCCCAGAGAAAUCUGGAUUAAUACCCCGUCAUAUAGUUGAAUGGCAUACUUUGAUUAUUAUAGCUACGCCGCUUAACGAUGGGUGUGCGGCUGAUUAGAUAGUUGGCGGGGUAACGGCCCACCAAGUCUACGAUCAGUAGCUGAUGUGAGAGCAUGAUCAGCCACACGGGCACAGAGACACGGGCCCGACUCCUACGGGAGGCAGCAGUAAGGAAUAUUGGUCAAUGGACGCAAGUCUGAACCAGACAUGCCGCGUGAAGGAUUAAGGUCCUCUGGAUCGUAAACUUCUUUUAUUUGGGACGAAAAAGGGCCUUUCUAGGUCAACUGACGGUACCAGAUGAAUAAGCACCGGCUAACUCCGUGCCAGCCGCCGCCGUAACAC